rnacentral:rRNA from 1 species
GAAUAUUGGUCAAUGGACGCAAGUCUGAACCAGCCAUGCCGCGUGAAGGAUUAAGGUCCUCUGGAUUGUAAACUUCUUUUCUCUGGGACGAAACCCCCUGUAUCCACAGGGCCUGACGGUACCAGAGGAAUAAGCACCGGCUAACCCCGUGCCAGCAGCCGCGGUAAUACGGAGGGUGCAAGCGUUAUCCGGAUUCACUGGGUUUAAAGGGUGCGUAGGUGGACAUUUAAGUCAGUGGUGAAAUCUUUGGGCUUAACCCGAAAACUGCCAUUGAUACUAUUUGUCUUGAAUUCUCUGGAGGUAAGCGGAAUAUGUCAUGUAGCGGUGAAAUGCUUAGAUAUAACAUAGAACACCCAUUGCGAAGGCAGCUUACUACGGAGACAUUGACACUGAGGCACGAAAGCGUGGGGAUCAAACAGG